UGGAGUUGCCAUGGCCACAACUAUGAAUGACCUGUAUGUUUUCCAAGAUCAGUUGUGCUAAUUUAACCAUGGGUACCUAACAACAGUCUAAAAUUAUGAUCUCUUUUCAGCAAACUAUUAUAUGCACAAUAGUUGGAUAUUUAUCACGGCCUCAACUAGACAACUACUGUUGUGGAACAUCAUUAGAUUACUAUGUAGCAUGUACUGAACAAAAAUCUGAUUUAUUUUGAUUUUAGAAUACUUACUGGAGUCCUAAAGAAAUUGGUAGCUCAUGGUGCUACCAUUGCUGCUGCUGAUCAUACUGCACCAACCUCGCCUGCUUGAAGCGGAGAACCGCAACCUCACGGCCUCAGCCACUCUGAGGUCUCCGGAGUACCUCACCAGGCCAACCCGUGACUUCACCUUCUUCGCGCCUGAGUACAUUAUAAGCAGACAAUUGAACAAACUCAAUAAUAAAUAUGUCAUGUCAGAGAGUUCAGGUACUAAUAAUACAAAUAAUAAUCAACUUCAAGAACACGUAUGAGGGCUAAAGUAUGGUAACACUUUCAGCAAGAGGUUGUGAUGAUAGAUGGUGUCCCCAAGACUCAAUGCAAAUAUUGUAGCUUAAGAUUGACAGCCACCAAAAAGUCAGGCAGAAGUCACCUUAUUAAUCACAUAGCCGAAUCAUGUCCAGCUAUUGAUGGUGCUGCUAGAAUCAACUUCCUUGCAACAAUUAAGAAACAGACUGGGGAAGGUUUCGUGUUUGAUCCCAAGAGAAGCUGGGAGCUAAUGGUCAAAUACUUCAUUCACGCAGAGGUGCCAUUCAAUAAAAUUGAGGAUCCUUAUUUUUUGGAGUGGGUGGAGUCCGUGCAGCCAACUUUCAAAGUUGUGGGGCGUCAAACACUUCAUGAUGAUGCCUUUAACUUGUAUGAGCAAAUGAGGGAAGACUUGCGUGCUGAAUUACAGUCUUGAUUCGCGUGUA